rnacentral:rRNA from 1 species
AUUGAACGCUGGCGGAAUGCUUUACACAUGCAAGUCGAACGGCAGCACGGGGCAACCUGGUGGCGAGUGGCGAACGGGUGAGUAAUACAUCGGAACGUGCCCAAUCGUGGGGGAUAACGUAGCGAAAGUUACGCUAAUACCGCAUACGCUCUACGGAUGAAAGCGGGGGAUCGCAAGACCUCGCGCGAAUGGAGCGGCCGAUGUCAGAUUAGGUAGUUGGUGGGGUAAAGGCUCACCAAGCCGACGAUCUGUAGCUGGUCUGAGAGGACGAACAGCCACACUGGGACUGAGACACGGCCCAGACUCCUACGGGAGGCAGCAGUGGGGAAUUUUGGACAAUGGGCGCAAGCCUGAUCCAGCCAUUCCGCGUGCAGGAUGAAGGCCUUCGGGUUGUAAACUGCUUUUGUACGGAGCGAAAAGGCUCUCUCUAAUACAGGGGGCUCAUGACGGUACCGUAAGAAUAAGCACCGGCUAACUACGUGCCAGCCGCCGCCGUAACAC